GGAGUACUCCUUCCGUUUCAUAAUUCUUGACGCAAUUUCGUUCUAAAAUGAGCGAAUCUACAUACUAAAACAUGUCUAGAUACAUCCGUAUCUAGACAAAAUUGCGUCAAGACUUAUGGAAAGGAGGGAGUACUUA
rfam:Brachypodium distachyon strain Bd21 chromosome 3, whole genome shotgun sequence.